GGACAAGACUGUACAUAGAAACUUAAUAAGCAUUUGGUGGUCUUAAUGCGAAGAAGGUUUAUCCACAGAUGUUGAAAUGUGACUGAUGAUAGAAUAAGUAAGAGGAGAUAGGAGGAAAAGAAGAAUCUGUUAAAGAGAAACAAACCUCCAGAUCAGUGAUACAAUGACCACAAGAAAAAGAGGGAUUAGUUCAGGUGGUUGCAAGCAUGUCUUUCCAUUUAUUUAAGCUAGCAAAGGAUUAGCAAUUGCAACAAGUUUCAUUUACUGAAGAAGAUAUACAGUUAGGCUAAAAAUGAAAUGCUGAAAUGUGUAACAUGACUAUAACCACUUGUUAUGUUCUUCAAACAUUAAAUACUUUUUACCACUGAUUAACCAAUGUCACAUGAACUUUCCUGGUGGCUCAGUGGUAAAGACUCUAGCUGCAAAUGUGGGAGAUGUACAUUUAAUCCCUAGAUCAGGAAGAUCCCCUGGAGAAGGAAAUGGCACCCACUCCAGUAUUCCUACCGCAGAAAUCCCAUGGACAGAGGAGCCUGGUGGGCUAUGGUCCAUGAGGUCAUAAAGAGUCUGAUGCAACUUAGCGACUCAAAAACAACAAACCUGUGCCACUUUAUAUAUGCACUAAAGAUGAUCUGAGGAGGAUAAAUGGUCUAUACACAAAUGUUAUGGUUAAGUAUGACUCUUUCCCAGCACUGUUUCAUAAGUCUGGAUAACGCAGACUGUCAUAGUUAUAGUAAAUGUCAACCUUGGCAUAAUUGAACACUCAGCUGAUGUCAAUCAAAGCUAAAAAAUGAUAGUGUACUUCAUGUAGCAUCAAAGAAAACAAACAUAUCUAAAGCUGGAGAAAACAGCCAAGUAGAUAAUACUUGUGUUUCUAAAAUGGUAUUAUACUACCCUUUCUCUGAAGAUUAUAGACAAGAGGAUUUUAGGAGUGGAUGAAGGACCACUUCAGCAUCCACUAUAGAUGGGUACCCAGGUGAGAGAUGUUUGUAGCAGUGAAGGUGGAGGGAAGCUCCAAGAAUCAAGAAGCCUUAGAGACAGAAUCAACAGAACCUGUGACUGCUAAGUCAUUAAGAGGAGGAGAGGCGGAGGGCAGAUGUGACCCCUUAAUUCAAGGGCUCAUGAUUUACAUACUUGUUAACAAUUUCUACCAUCAACACUGGGCUUCCCUAGUGGCUCAGACGGUAAAGCAUCUGUCUGCAAUGCAGGAGAUCCGGGUUCAAUCCCUGGGCUGGAAAGAUCCCCUGGAGAAGGAAAUGGCAGCCCAUUCCAGUAUUAUUGCCUGGAAGGUCCCACUGGAAAAUCCCAUGGACCGUGGAGCCUGGUAGGUUACCGUCUAUUGUCCAUGGGGUCGCAAAGAGUCGGAAACGAGUUAGUGACUUCACUUCACCAUCAACACUAUCCUGGGGUCGCAAAGAGUCGGACUCGACUUAGUGACUUCGCUUCACCAUCAACACUCUCCUGCCUUCUGUAACAUCUGAGAUGAUUGUGAAUGAUGACACUCAAUGAUAAUUUUUUUCUUUUCCCUUUUGGGACAUUGAGAGUGGGAUUAUCUCUCUUUCCUCACAAAAAUAUUAUACUAUAUCAUGCAUGAAAAUUAACUUGAUAUAGAAAUAUACAGAUAUAUCUUCAGGAAUUUUUCUUCUCUAUCUGAACUUGUAGUUCACAUUAUUCUUCCUUUAUGUCUACUUUCACACUCUGUAGAUCCUAAGGAGUAUUUGUGAAUUACUUAUUAUUUUUCCUUGAAAUAUUUAAGAGAGUUUUUCUACUGAUUUAUUUGUGUUAGUAACACACUAAACACCAGGUUAUAAGUAAAAUAUAUUUAUUCUGGGAAUGCAUUUCUAAGGAUAUUUAAGAAACCACAAAGUUUUAUUGUUAUAUAUGACUACAUUAUCUAGCUAUACAGCAUUAUUAUUAGUCCCCAACUUACUUUGUGUCUUCCUGUUUAUUAGUCUCCACAUCAGGUCGGUUUUAUAGUCAUGCAUAACUUAUUUAUGACAUCUCUCCUAAAUCUGGUUCUCUUUAUUCCCCCUGUUACUGACCAAUAACAAAUCCUCAUCAGCAUUUUAAAACUGUAAAGUAUCCUUACAUGGAGUAUUCCUGCAUUUCUCACCCCCCCCCAAUUUAUCUUUUCUUUUCCAGAAAGGAACUGUUAAAAUAGUGAAUACUCCUAAACAAACAGAAAAUCAUUGGAACAAGAAAAAAGUACCCUCUAUUGCUACACUUUCUUUCUAACUGCAUCUCUCAAAAUUCUGCAUUCCAUUUAUAGGCACAACAAAUUGAAAACAAACAAAUAAUGUAAUAAAUAAUUUUCAUACUGUGAUGGCUGCAUCUGAAGUUCUCAUUUCUUGCAAUGCCUUUUUCUGAACUUCUCUCCUAUGUGUACCUGCUUCAUUCUUGAAAAUCCUCAUCGCUAUCUGCCUUUUCCAUGGUUUCGUCGCCUUUCCCAUACUUAUAGUACACAUGAUGACAUCAUUGCUCAAAUUUAACUAAAUCCUGAUUUGAAAUGCUCUGAUAAUUAGUCAUGUUGAGCAUUUUCUCAUGUUCUCUUUGGCCAUUAUUAUGUCUUCUUUGAAGGAAUGCCUAUUAGAUCUUCUGCCCAUUUAAAAAAAUUUUUUUCUGACAUAGAACUGCAUGAGCUAUUUUGCUAGUUUUAAAGGUUAACCUCUUAUAAGUCACUUCAUUUGCAAAUAGUUUCUCUGGAUCUGUGACUUGUCUUUUUCUUGUUUGUUUACAGUUUCCUUUGUUGUGCAGAAGUUUUAAGUUUAAUUAGGUCACAUUUGUUUAGGUUUUACUUUCAUUCUCUAGGAAGUGGAUCCAAAAAGAUACUGCGAGUGUGUUCACUUAGUCGCUCAGUCAUGUCUAACUCUUUACGACCCCAUGGACUGUAGCCCCACCAUGCUGCUCUGCCCAUGGGGAUUCUCCAGGCAAGAACACUGGAGUGGAUUGCCAUGCCCUUUUUCAGAGGAUCUUCGCAACCCUGGGAUCAAACCCAGCUCUCUCAGAUCACAGGCAGAUUAUUUACUGUUCGAGCCACCUACAAUUUAUGUCAAAGAGUUUUCUGUCUACAUUUUCCUCUGAAAGUUUUAAAAUGUUUGCCCUUUUAUUUAGGUCUUUGAUCCAUUCUGUAUGGUGUUAAGGAGUGUUCUCAUUUCAUUUUUUACGUGUAACUUUCCACUUUUCCCAGAUUUAUUUAUUGAUUGAUAUCAGAAUUAUUUCUUGAAGAGACUGGCU
ensembl:lincRNA